rnacentral:rRNA from 1 species
GACGAACGCUGGCGGCGUGCUUAACACAUGCAAGUCGAACGGUAAGGCCCUUCGGGGUACACGAGUGGCGAACGGGUGAGUAACACGUGGGUGAUCUGCCCUGCACUUCGGGAUAGGCCUGGGAAACUGGGUCUAAUACCGGAUAGGACCACUGCCUGCAUGGGUGGUGGUGGAAAGCUUUUGCGGUGUGGGAUGGGCCCGCGGCCUAUCAGCUUGUUGGUGGGGUGAUGGCCUACCAAGGCGACGACGGGUAGCCGGCCUGAGAGGGUGACCGGCCACACGGGGACUGAGAUAGUGCCCAGACUCCUACGGGAGGCAGCAGUGGGGAAUAUUGCACAAUGGGCGCAAGCCUGAGGCAGCGACGCCGCGUGAGGGAUGACGGCCUUCGGGUUGUAAACCUCUUUCAGCACCGACGAAGCGCAAGUGACGGUAGGUGCAGAAGAAGGACCGGCCAACUACGUGCCAGCAGCCGCCGUAA